UAGUUAGAAAAGGAUAAUAAAUAAUUAACCACAAAAAUUAUACCACCACAUUUUUGAGUUUAUAAAAUAGAAAAAUUAAUAAUAAUAAGUGUAUUUUUGAGGUCAAUAUAAAACAAAAGAAUGAUGGCAAAAACUUCCAGCAUAACCAGGCGUCUUGGCUUCAUCAUACAACAUCGUAUGGCACCUAUAACGAGGUAGGCAAUUAAUUUAAGUGAAAUCAGAAUUUGUGCAGGGUACCUCAGAUAACUUCCAUCUUGCAGAUAAAUCGAAGUUUGUUAUCCAUUGAUGUAUUUAUCUUGUGUCUUUUAAGUGUUUGAGUGUCCGCGAAAAAUUCAAUCACACAAGGCUUCCUUCUUACUUGUCCCGCAAUUCCCUCUUUGGAAGUAAAUCAGGCCUUCUGAAUCUGAAUCUCAACCUUAUGCCUACAAUGAAGUAAACAGGUAAUAAAGCAUUUAUUUGCCAAUAGAUAAUCAUUGUAUUCACUAUAUAUUUUGCAGACUUUCCCAGUUCACGUGUUAUGCAAUGCUUGGCAUAUGUCAUCCCUAAAUAGCAAAAUUAACAUUUCUGAACCAGAAUGACCUUUUGAAUAAAAUGGCAAAAGAUCAACAGACCGAAAUACAUGACAAUGCAAUACGCUUUCCUAACAUCAGAUGUGCCUAUCAACUAGCAGAAAACAGAAAAUGGGACUCAGCUUUGUCACAAUAUGUCAAGGAAGGUCAGUAGAAUGAACAUUACCAUUGGAAUUUCUUGAGAAGAACUUCAGGAUUUCAUCAAUAAUUAUAACCUACAGCAAACACACAAUAUUAGAACCAGUGUGCAAGUAAAAGGAAGUUCAAAUUACACAACUUUAGCUGCUACUUUUGCCCAACCGGAAACUAGCUCUCUCACCAGCAGAACAUUCAGGAAGGGGUAAAAGCAUCAUAAAAGGCACCUUUCCCAUAUAUCCAAAAAAGAACCAAAAAUAUCAGAACUAAGGACUGCCAUGAGGCUGCAUUGGAUGGAGAAAAUCCCAGUCCAAAACUGCCCAAAGCUCAUGUCAACUAUUAAGAAGCCAAGAGAAGCAGGGAAGGUUCAAAAGGAUAAGAAAAAAACCUGAAGACUGAUAAUAUGCAGUGCAUCAUGAGAAUAUGAAUCAAUAAUCAUUGUUUUUACCAGAUUAGAAUGGAGUGGAAACCACUCAAGUGGAGCACGAGUAAUAAGGUAAAUAUUUUUCCAACUAAAUUCUUGAAGAAAGAUAUUGCGCCAAAUAAAAUAACUGAAUCAUAUAAUGGUUGACAGCAAAAUAUCCAAAUUAGUGGAAAAUUAGUAAACUGGGAAGGUGAAGAUCACUUCAUACAGGGAAUGAAAGAUAUAGAACAACAGUCCACUCAGCCCAAGAUAACGGUGUUACCUGCAACAAUAUAUUUCAACUUACAACAAGUUCCUCAUGACAGUGGGUAAAGUAAAUUAUCAAUAGAAAUAAUAAGUGAUGGAAAAAAAAAAAGAAAACAACUUACAGAGAAGAGAACAGAAAGGGGAUGCACAUACAAAAUUAGCAUGUGAAACAUCAUAGUCAGGAUGAUGGAACCAACAAGCCAUAAAUUACUCCAGGGAGGGACAACACUAAGAAAGGGAGAAAAAUCCAUUGAACCUCAGAAACAAUAAACUUAAUUCAUCUGAUGGGGAAAAAAAUUAAAGACCUGAUGCAGAAAUAAAAGCUAUUAAAUAUGCAAGAAUUCUCAUCAAAUAAAGCACUCACAAAAGUGAUUGAUUUUCGCUGAGAUUGUUCAAAGCAUUAAACAUCUCAACAACGACAAGCACAGUCAUGGAGACGGUUGAUGGAUGUUUAUCCUCAAAUAUACUGCAUGGAUAAGUAGUCUCCCUUGUUGAGCAAGAGUCAAAAUUCAUCUGCAACAAAUAAAGGAUUAAAUUUCUGAAAAUGGGUUGCCAAGGACGUGCAUAACAACAGUACAAGUGGAAUGUAAUUUCAGGCUAACAACAAAAGGCACAACUCUGUCACUUGGUGCAUACCAAUUGAAAACCAAGAAUCUCCACCAUUAGUAGUUUAGGAACUCAAAACAACUUACAAGGCAGAAAAAGGGGCUCAGAAAACAAACAUAAAAAUGGAACAGAUUAGAAAACAACUUCCAGUUUGACACCACCAUGAAUUUUAAGGAUAAAAUGCUGAUAUUAAUCAGUCAAACCUUAACCAGUAACACAAAAACCAAGGCCCUAGGUUCUCACAACCAAAAUUUUUUAAUUCAACCAAAACCAGAAGUGAAUAAACCACACUAUAAAAAAAUAUAAAAUUACUUAUUUAAGUAUCCUACUAAUAAUUGUUUAAAGAUCCUAUCCAAUAAAGGGCUUGAGUCACAAUUAAGAUUUAGGUUAUGCCCAUGUAGAAGAAUAUAUACUGCAUUGGAAGAAGAUGUAGAAAGCUUCAAGUACUGAGGCCAGCAGGAGAGAUAGCAACUCAGAUGACACUAAGACCUAAACAAGCAACUUGUAACACAAACUGUAAAAAUUGCCAAAAAGCAAUAUUGAACUUCACUUUUAUUUGGCAUGCCACAUGCUUACACAAUCUCCAAGUCAUAACAUGAUGGAAAUCAUGCCCAAAAAAGAGAACUUUGGCCCAUUCUUUCGUAACAAAAGGCUCACUAAUUGCCACUUAAAAUUAAAUCUCAC
rnacentral:misc_RNA from 1 species